rnacentral:rRNA from 1 species
UACGUAGGGGGCAAGCGUUGUCCGGAUUUAUUGGGCGUAAAGAGCGUGUAGGCGGCCAUACAGGUCCGUUGUGAAAACUGGAGGCUUAACCUCCAGACGUCGAUGGAAACCGUAUGGCUAGAGUCCGGAAGAGGGUCGCGGAAUUCCCGGUGUAGAGGUGAAAUUCGUAGAUAUCGGGAGGAACACCGGUGGCGAAGGCGGGCGACCUGGGUAGAUACUGACGCUGAGGUGCGAAAGCGUGGGGAGCAAACAGG